rnacentral:lncRNA from 1 species
CCAAAUUUCAGUAUUAUAAUGUCUGAUGGUUAAUGUGAUGUCACUGAAUGCAGAUUGAGAAGACUGUACAAAAUCAACUCUCAUGGGCCAAUGCAAGAGAUUUCCAACACAACAGUGCAUAUAGGAUUUUGAAGAUUAUAUUCUCCAAAAAUGGUCAAGAUGAUAUCACCUCUCCCACCAUUCAUUUUAUGAUGUGGCUUUGAUAUUCUCACUGAAGACUAGGAUCCCUUUUAUCCAAGGACUCAUGACUACAGCAGAAGUGUUGCUAUGUGACAUCUGAGGCUAGGUCAUAAAGGAAGUUCAGCUCCUUCUUUGAUCUCUUCAUCUUUUUGCUCUUCAAAUGAGGGAAGCACAUUCUGAAGAAGACUGGGCAGAUACAUGGACAGGCUACAUGCAGGUGUUUUCACCCGCAGCUGAGUUCCCAGUUGAUAGAAUUAACAACACUCAUGUGAGUAAAUGAACCUUUGGAUAAAUCCAGUCCUCAGACAAGUCCACUCUGGCCUUUGGGUGAGAAAAACUAAAAUGGCUUUCUAUAAAGUUUUUGUUAGGCUUCAGAGACCUCUGAAAUUCUAUGGUUAGAGGAAAGAAUACCUGAGUAUGAAAACACAAGAGCAAUAUGGCCGAAAACUUGAAAAAUGCAGACUGGCAUCUUUGAGGUAUGUGAUCUUUAGGAGUAAUCUAAGAAACAACACCAGCAUCUGUCAACUUUUCUGCUGUUUGCAGCCUGGAAAUAGCUUCACAUGCCCUCGUGUCCCAGAGGGUAUCCAAAACAGGCCUAAGUGUCUUAUGAACAGUUGGUGCUUUAUUCUGAGAUUGCCUUCCAAGUUCAGAAUCCUUAUUAGAGAAAAAAGAGGCUUAGCAAAACAGAUGUUCAGUUGAGUGGAAAGAACAGAUAACAGACAUAUCCAUGAAUCAAAAUGGAAAUUUACGAGAAAACAAAAUAAACAUUUUUGUCUCUAUAUUAUUCCA